CCCCUGCUAAUGCUCUGUCUCCCCAUCUCUCAAAAAAUAAACAUUAAAAAAAGAAUAGUCCCUUGCAUACAUUAUGUGCUGUAAAAAUGUUGCUGUUACUAUUUUUAUAUAAUCAACUAGUUCAGUCUCUAUUUCACUUUUCUUUUCAUUACCAACUGCCACCUUCACUCCCUGUAUCUUUUUAAUAUCACAGACCUUGGUCUAUCUUAGUUUCAAUUUUAUUAUAAUUUUAGGCAACAUAGCUUUGGCUUCAUGGAUCCUUAUUUCCCUAUUCUCCUUUCUCAACUUUGUCAACACUGUCUAUAUUUUCUUAAUUUUAAUUCAUAUUUCCAGAGGCAAUAUCAGAAUGGCCCAUGUCAUCCCUCUUUGGACAGAGAUUUCUAUAUUAAGCCAUCUCAUGGACUCCUUCUUGGCCUUAGAAUUAUCUGCCUGGGAAGAUAUAAUCCAGUUAAUCAGAAGACAAUGCAUGCCAAGAGAGGACAGUAAAAAAGAUUAUGAGGUCAAACCAUCUUCCAUAACUCCAUCUGUAAUUCUAGAACUGGAAUUCUUUUUCUUCUCUUUUCUUGUCCAUAAUAUUCAACUUGUGAAGUUAACGUUCAACACAUUUUUCAGGAAGUGAAAUAGACAAGAAAGAGCUAUUAAACUCCUCUUUAGCUCCUC